rnacentral:rRNA from 1 species
GCAGUCGCCGCGGUAAAACGGAGGGAGCUAGCGUUGUUCGGAAUUACUGGGCGUAAAGCGCGCGUAGGCUGUUACUCAAGUCAGAGGUGAAAGCCCGGGGCUCAACCCCGGAACUGCCUUUGAAACUAGGUGACUAGAAUCUUGGAGAGGUCAGUGGAAUUCCGAGUGUAGAGGUGAAAUUCGUAGAUAUUCGGAAGAACACCAGUGGCGAAGGCGACUGACUGGACAAGUAUUGACGCUGAGGUGCGAAAGCGUGGGGAGCGAACAGGAUUAGAUACCCCGGUAGUCCCUGUCUCUUAUAC